UGGCGGACGGGUGAGUAAUGUCUGGGAAACUGCCUGAUGAGGGGGAUAACUACUGGAAACGGUAGCUAAUACCGCAUAACGUCGCAAGACCAAAGAGGGGGACCUUCGGGCCUCUUGCCAUCGGAUGUGCCCAGAUGGGAUUAGCUAGUAGGUGGGGUAAAGGCUCACCUAGGCGACGAUCCCUAGCUGGUCUGAGAGGAUGACCAGCCACACUGGAACUGAGACACGGUCCAGACUCCUACGGGAGGCAGCAUG
rnacentral:rRNA from 1 species